GCUGGCGCUGCAGCUGCAGAAUGGUGGGCGGUGGCUGGAAGCGCAGGCCCGGCGCGGGGGCGGGGCCGCAGAUACUGCCAGAAAGGCUGUGGGGGCUACGCAGGUGGCUUUGGAUGACAGCCAGGGUACCAGGAGGCAGCGCGUUUCAUUCAUGCAGUGACUAUUAAGCUUGCUGUGUGUCCGGGGUCUGCGGUUUGCUGCGGGGACCCUGCCCAGGUCGCUGUUUCGCGCUCUGUAGGGGAUUGGACCAGUGUGAAAAAACAGUUGAUGUGAAGAAAAGUAAAUUCUGUGAAGCUGAUGUCUCCAGUGACCUUCGAAAAGAAGUAGAAAAUCAUUAUACGCUCUCUUUACCUGAAGAUUUCUAUCACUUCUGGAAGUUCUGUGAAGAACUUGAUUCUGAAAAACCAGCUGGGAUUCUCCUGAUGAACUUCCUGUAUAUGUUGGUAUAAAUGAAGCAAAGAAAAAUUGUAUAAUUGUUCCAAAUGGAGAUAAUGUAUUUGCUGCAGUCAACUGACCUCAAGAGAAUUUGCAAGACAAUAGUUGAGGCUGCAAGUGAUGAUGAGAGACGAAAAGCUUUUGCUCCCAUUCAGGAAAUGAUGACUUUUGUGCAGUUUGCUAAUGAUGAAUGUGAUUAUGGUAUGGGGCUUGAGUUGGGAAUGGACCUCUUUUGCUAUGGCUCACAUUAUUUUCAUAAAGUUGCUGGCCAGCUUUUACCUCUUGCAUAUAAUCUGUUGAAGAGGAAUCUGUUUGCAGAAAUUAUGAAGGAUCAUCUGGCAAACAGAAGAAAAGAGAACAUAGACCAAUUUGCUGCAUGAGUAAGGUGGUUUGUUUGGUGUAUAAUAUUUCAAAGGACUAGUAUUAAACUUGUAAUUUUUGUUUUGUUUUUAAGGAAUACAAAAAAAUAAACAUUUACUAAAAAUGUU